rnacentral:rRNA from 1 species
UGGGGAAUCUUGCACAAUGGAGGAAACUCUGAUGCAGCGACGCCGCGUGAGCGAAGAAGCCUUUCGGGGUGUAAAGCUCUUACGCCAGGGACGAUAAUGACGGUACCUGGAGAAGCAGCUGCGGCUAACUACGUGCCAGCAGCCGCGGUAAUACGUAGGCAGCAAGCGUUGUUCGGAAUUACUGGGCGUAAAGGGUGCGUAGGCGGCGCUCUAAGUUUGGUGUGAAAUCUCCCGGCUUAACUGGGAGGGUGCACUGAAAACUGGGGCGCUCGAGUAUGGGAGAGGAAAGCGGAAUUCCUGGUGUAGCGGUGAAAUGCGUAGAGAUCGGGAGGAACACCUGCGGUGCAGACGGCUUUCUGGACCAUCACUGACGCUGAGGCACGAAAGCGUGGGUAGCAAACA